rnacentral:rRNA from 1 species
UACGGAGGGAGCGAACGUUGUUCGGAUUCACUGGGCGUAAAGGGAGUCUAGGCGGCUUGGUAAGUCAGGGGUGAAAUCCCGCGGCUCAACCGCGGAGUUGCCUUUGAAACUGCCGAGCUUGAGGCCGUGAGAGGAGACUGGAAUUCCCAGUGUAGCGGUGAAAUGCAUAGAUAUUGGGAAGAACACCAGUGGCGAAGGCGAGUCUCUGGCACGGAUCUGACGCUGAAGCUCGAAAGCUAGGGGAGCAAACGGG